AAAGCUGAUGUUGUGCAGGGGAAAAGAAAAAAUAAUAAUUAAAAAAAAAAUCAUGAUUAUGGCAGAAAAGAGCAUCCCUGAGUGGCCGGGCUCUGUCACUAACCCCUGCUGCUUGUGUAGCCCCCAUGAAAGUAAGAAGAAAAGUGUGGUUUCCCUGGCGUGGGAAGCCAGCCAGGGCUGGGAGCUGAGCACAGGGGGAAAACAGUGCGGGCGGUGGGACCUGUGGCUGGCAUUCAGCAAGCCAGAGAAAUAACUCAGCACCAGCUGAACCUGCUGCUUUUUGGCAGCUCCUGCCCAACUUCAAACCUUGCUCUUGCAUCUGUUCUGCCUCCUGGUGCCCCUGCCUGACCCACUGUUGGUCACAUUGGCCCCAAGCCCUAGGAGGGGCUUCCCUUGCCCCCCGUCAGCCCUCCCCAAACCCCCCACGGGAUCCCCGAGCUGUCUCGAUGCUCCUGCUCUCCGAGCCCCACGGGUGACGCAGCGCCUCCAGGACCUGCCCGCAGCAGCCCCACAAAAUGCCUCAAGAAGGGGGGCUGCCGGAGGGUGCCGAAAGCAGGACCGUCAUGGGGGGGCUCAGCCUGCCCCUGAAGAAGCGGGACAUGACAGCGAGGAAGGCGCUGCCGGCCCCGGUCAGCCCCAGGCACUGGGGCUCCACGCCAGCUCCAGGUGCCUGGGUGCUGCCGGGGGGCCCCGGGGCUGCCUGCCCCUCGCCCCAGCGUCCACCCCUCUGCGCGAGGCCGGUGGCUCCUGCAGGCACCCAGCAGCCGUGGGCACGAUGCACCCUGCCCGGGCACACGAGGGACCCCAGCUCCACCACAGGCACUGCUGAUGGGGCAGCGGGGGGCUGCCCUCAGCCCCUGGACAUCGCCACCACCUGCAGAAGGGGCUGGGGCACCCCCCGAGGCUGUCCCGGGGCCGGGAGCUGCCUGCACGCCCCAGCCUGGAUGUCCCCCAGCAGGCAGCACGGGGACAGGCAGGACGUGGGGAUGGGGAUGGUGGGGGCCCCGCCAGGGCUCUGGUCUGCAGCCAGCCCGGUGGCACCAGCUGGGGCUGGGAGUACAGGGGGCACAGAGCUGGGCUGGGGGCUCCCCCCGGCAACCCCAUUGCCCACAGGCAGUGUCCCCAGGGCAUGGGUGUAUUAUGGACUGGCAGUGGGUACGGGCAAGCUGAGCAGGGCAGCUGCCAGCCUGCACGAUGCCAGUGUCCCCCCACCCACACCAAACCCCUCGGAGCCCCCCAGCCCCUCACCUCCACCUUCCACCAGCGCUGCCCCUCCGCAGCCCCCUCCCAGGGCGGCUUCCCCGCAGGGGACAGGCGAGGAGCAGCCACCUGCUGACACGGGGGCUGUCCCCACGAUGCCCACCCCGGUGCCUGCCCACAUUUCCACCUCCCCGGGGCUGACCCCCACAGCACCGUCCCACGCAUUGCUCUACUCCCAGCCGCUCUGCCCCGCAGUCGCGUACCGGCAGUGCCGAGCCCCGGCCGGCACCGGGGGGGCUCUGGGCCAUGCUGCUGCCCACGGCCAGCACGGCCUUCGUGCUGCCCCACUUCCAGCGGGGCUCCCUGGCGGUGCUGCCCGGCGGUGAGCAGAGGAAGGUGGAGGAGCUGCGGGAGGAGGAUUUCCUGCAGUGCGCGGCGGCCGGCACUGAGCUGUGCAUCAGCUCGUGCGUGGUGCGGGGCAUCCAGAGGAGCUCGCACGCCGGCUUCGCCUCCCUGAGGGUCUGCCUCAGGGAGCAGGACGGGCAGGUCUCAGUGGAGGUGCUCCAGGAGUUCCCCUUCUUCGCCCGGCACCGGGGCUGGGUGUCCUGCUGCCCGCACAGGACCUGCCAGCUCUACCAGCUCCCGUGCCAGCAGCUGGCCGUCGGGGACAUCUGCAUGGUGUGGAGCCCGAGGAGGCAGGGACAUGACAUCCACAGGGCUCAGCAAGAGCCUCCUGGGGAGCGCUAGCCCUGGUGGCCACCGCGUGCCCCCGAGGGGCAUGGCCAAGGAGCCGGGCACGGCCGGGCGGUGCGGCCCCGCUCCCCACGCUGAGCUGGCCCCCGCGCUGCGGGGAUGCUCAUUUCUCAGCAGCCACAUUCCUUCGAGGGUGUUUAUGGCUUUGCUGUCUCCCCGCUGUCCCAGACUAAAAUCUCCCCUUUUAAGGGAGCCUCGGGAACUCGGUCGCUGGAGUUUCACAGGCUGCUCCCUCGCAAUUUAUUGCCUCGGGGAAAAAAAAAAAAAAAGAAAGAAAAAAAAAGCCUUGUUUUUCUCUUUGCUCCACGAUUUACUGAGCGAGUCAAGCUGCGUCUCAUUCCCAGCGCUGCGUGUAAAGAAUAAGAUCUAUUUUCACCACCGAGUGAUUCACCUGCCUGGCACCAGCUCACCUUUCACUUAGCAGCUGUCUCCCCGCGCAGCUCCAUCCUCGCCUCCCGCCCCGCAGCACCCUGACUCACCUCCUGUUUUCUACAGACCUGUAAUAGAAGGGAGAAACCUGACCAGCAGCAGCAGGAGGAACGAGUCACGUUGCGUUUUCUCCUGAUGACGGGCACGCUUUGAUGCUGGCUUCCCCGGGGACCUUUGGCAGGAGCUGAGCUCUGUGUCCUGGAAAGAAGAUGUGUCAUUUCCUACCUGGGCUGGCGACCCGGACCUCCAGGGAACACCUCCCAGGGACCUGGGAAUUGCAGUUAGGGCGAGUGCUGGUGACACACGACAAUGCCAUGAGCCUGCACCCGCGGCACCAGCGAUGCAGGAUGCUGCUGCGGGUAGGGGCAGACCCUGCGGGCAUCUCCCAGGGGCCGGCGAGGCUUGUAGUAGGGAGCCCGGGGAACAGGUGGAGACUCCCCACCACCUUCGGUGUCCCCUCCGACCUCCUGCCUUUUGGCUGGGGGCAGGCACGCCUGGCCAGGAGCAAAACUCAUUACGUGGGGCUGGCUUGCCUGCGUGCGUAUAAUGGGACUAAAAUGGGUGCCCCGCUGCGCAGCACGGCUUGUGCUGAAGAGCCGGGAUGAGUCAGUCUCUGUGCGGAUGAUAUCAGAGCUUCGCCAGCCCCCUCCCCGCCAGGCGGGACGGAGGGGACGCAGCAGCGGGGUGCCCGUGUGUGGGGCCUCUCGGUGCUGCCGGUGCCGUCACUACCGUGGGGAUUUGGGGAGCCGCAGGGAGCUCGUGAGCACAGAAACGGCCUCAAUGCCUCGCAGGGGAAAGCGGUGCCAAUCGGCGCAGACAUCUCACAUAGCAGAGACCUGAGCUAAUUCCCUGGCCCUGCCUCUCGCCUCCCCAUCGGCAGGGCCGGGCAGGGCCGAGGGGUCAGCAGCAGGGACAGCUGAUGUUGAGCACGCUGCCCGGACACGUGCUGGGCACUCGGAGCUGGGGGCAAGCGAGGGCCGGCGGCUGCCCUGAGAGCCUCCCCCUUCCUGCCACCAUCCUGUGAGCAAAGCUCAUCCCUCGCACCCAGCGGCACCCACGGGAGCUGAAGCCAGCAGCUGUGGGCAAGAGUGGGGGGUGCGGGAACGGGUCCCCAGCUCAAACCCGCUUUCAGCAGCAGGCGGCAAUUUGGGGACAGCAAAGGGACAGUAGCCAAAGCAGAGCUGGGACGCAAACAAUACCCAGUUAUCUCCAGCCAUGCAGACAGCGAGAUAAACAGGCUGAGAGGGGCCGGCAGGACGUGCCACAGACACUGGGAACUCCCUUGGCAGAGGCCUGGAGCAGCCUGCGUGCAGGGCUGGUGCUGGGCAUGGAGGGCAACGAGUCACCCGCUGGGAGCAGCCCUGCUGAAAGUGGGCAAAACACCCCAAAAGGGGAUUUUGGGGGUGCUGCUGGGGCAAGUCAGGGCGAGCUGCAGAAGGAGUCCACGGCCUGGCCACAGAGCGAGCUGUCCGAGCUGCGUCAGCUGGCCGCUUGGGAAGAAAAGCA